rnacentral:rRNA from 1 species
CGGACGGUGAGUAACGCGUGAGGAACCUGCUUCAUGGGGACACAGUUGGAACGACUGCUAAUACCGCAUAACGUACGGGUAUCGCAUGGUAUCUGUACCAAAGAUUUAUCGCUGAGAGAUGGCCUCGCGUCUGAUUAGCUAGUUGGUAGGGUAACGGCCUACCAAGGCGACGAUCAGUAGCCGGACUGAGAGGUUGGCCGGCCACAUUGGGACUGAGAUACGGCCCAGACUCCUACGGAAGGCAGCAG